rnacentral:rRNA from 1 species
CCUACGGGUGGCAGCAGUGAGGAAUAUUGGUCAAUGGACGAGAGUCUGAACCAGCCAAGUAGCGUGAAGGAUGACUGCCCUAUGGGUUGUAAACUUCUUUUAUAUGGGAAUAAAAUGUUGGACGUGUGGGGUUUUGUAUGUACCAUAUGAAUAAGGAUCGGCUAACUCCAUGCCAGCAGCCGCGGUAAUACGGAGGAGGCGAGCGUUAUCCGGAUUUAUUGGGUUUAAAGGGAGCGUAGGUGGAUAGUUAAGUCAGUUGUGAAAGGCUGCGGCUCAACCGUAAAAUUGCUGUUGAAACUGGUAGUCUUGAGUACAGUAGAGGUGAGCGGAAUUCGUAGUGUAGCGGUGAAAUGCUUAGAUAUUACGAAGAACUCCAAUUGCGAAGGCAGUUCACUGGACUGCAACUGACAUUGAGGCUCGAAAGUGUGGGUAUCAAACAGGAUUAGAUACCCCGGUAGUC